ensembl:lncRNA
CACAGGGAUGAUUCCACAGGAUGUUCGCAACGAUGUUCUAACAGAUGUUCGCACAAGAUGUUCCCACAGAUGUUCACAGAUGUUCCCACAGAUGUUCCCACAGAUGUUCUCACAGAUGUUCUCACAGAUGUUCGCACAGAUGUUCGCACAGAUGUUCCCACAGAUGUUCACAGAUGUUCCCACAGAUGUUCUCACAGAUGUUCUCACAGAUGUUCCCCAG